rnacentral:rRNA from 1 species
AUUGAGCGCUGGCGGCAUGCCUUACACAUGCAAGUCGAACGGCAGCACGGGGGCAACCCUGGUGGCGAGUGGCGAACGGGUGAGUAAUACAUCGGAACGUGUCCUGUAGUGGGGGAUAGCCCGGCGAAAGCCGGAUUAAUACCGCAUACGACCUGAGGGAGAAAGCGGGGGAUCUUCGGACCUCGCGCUAUAGGGGCGGCCGAUGGCAGAUUAGCUAGUUGGUGGGGUAAAGGCCUACCAAGGCGACGAUCUGUAGCUGGUCUGAGAGGACGACCAGCCACACUGGGACUGAGACACGGCCCAGACUCCUACGGGAGGCAGCAGUGGGGAAUUUUGGACAAUGGGGGCAACCCUGAUCCAGCAAUGCCGCGUGUGUGAAGAAGGCCUUCGGGUUGUAAAGCACUUUUGUCCGGAAAGAAAACUUCGUCCCUAAUAUGGAUGGAGGAUGACGGUACCGGAAGAAUAAGCACCGGCUAACUACGUGCCAGCAGCCGCAGUAA